GGACUACCCGCUGAACUUAAGCAUAUCACUAAGCGGAGGAAAAGAAACUAACUAGGAUUCCCCCAGUAACUGCGAGUGAAGAGGGAAGAGCUCAUCAUUGGAAUCUGGCAGUGUUACACUGUCCGAGUUGUAGAUGAGGAGUAGUCCGUCUGGACUGCAUGGCGUCCAAGUACAAUAGGCCGUCAGUGGGACAUCAUAGAGGGUGACAAUCCCGUCCUUGACGCCAAUGUGCAAGUCUAUUACGAUGGCUAUCUCAGAGAGUCGAGCAGUUUGGGAUUUGCUGCUUAAACAUGGGAGGUAGAUUCCUUCUAAAGCUAAAUACAGGCGAGAGACCGAUAGAGAACAAGUACCGCAAGGGAAAGAUGAAAUAGCACUCUGUGAAGGGAGUCAAAAGGCGUGAAAUUGUUGCGAGAGAAGCGAUUCAAGUCAGCGUAGCUAGGCCCAUCAAGCGUCUUCGCUUUGGACUAGCUUUGCCAGCGGUCUUGUCCCUUAAAGAGACUUGACUUGUAAUAUGUCCAGCCUGGCGUGCACAGGCAGCCCCUUCUGGGGGCCAGUGGCAUGGCUGGUGGAAUGGCUUGCAAUCGACCCGUCUUGAAACACGGACCAAGGAGUCUAACAUGUAUGCGAGUAUAAGGGUGGCAAACCCGUAUGCGCAAUGAAAGUGAUUUUCGGUGAUUGAGAAUGGCCUGAUGACCAGACAAGCAAUAUAUGUCCCUCGUACGGCCAUUGCCCAAGUUCCGUGGUAGAUCCCACGAACAUGGAGUUGGAGCAUACAUGCUAGGACCCGAAAGAUGGUGAACUAUGCCUGGACAAAGCGAAGCCAAAGGAAACUCUGGUGGAGGCUUGUAGCGAUUCUGACGUGCAAAUCGAUCGUCUGAUCUGGGUAUAGGGGCGAAAGACUAAUCGAACC
rnacentral:rRNA from 1 species